rnacentral:rRNA from 1 species
GACGAACGCUGGCGGCGUGCUUAACACAUGCAAGUCGUACGCUGAAGCUCGCGCUUGCGUGGGUGGAUGAGUGGCGAACGGGUGAGUAACACGUGGGUAAUCUGCCUUGUACUCUGGGAUAAGCCUGGGAAACUGGGGAUAAUACCGGAUAAGACCAUUCCCCGCAUGGGGGGUGGGGGAAAGCUCCGGCGGUAUGAGUUGAGCCCGCGGCCUUUCAGCUUGGUGGUGGGGUGAUGGCCUACCAAGGCGGUGACGGGUAGCCGGCCUGAGAGGGCGACAGGCCACACUGGGACUGAGACACGGCCCAGACUCCUACGGGAGGCAGCAGUGGGGAAUAUUGCACAAUGGGCGCAAGCCUGAUGCAGCGACGCCGCGUGAGGGAUGACGGCCUUCGGGUUGUAAACCUCUUUCGCCAGGGACGAAGGGUGAUACUGACGGUACCUGGAGAAGAAGCACCGGCUAACUACGUGCCAGCCGCCGCGGUAAUAC